CGGCGAGUGAAGCGGCAACAGCUCAAAUUUGAAAUCUGGCCCCCCGGCCCGAGUUGUAAUUUGGAGAGGAUGCUUUUGGCGCGGCGCCGUCCGAGUUCCUUGGAACAGGACGCCACAGAGGGUGAGAGCCCCGUACGGACGGACGCCUAGCCUCUACAAAGCUCCUUCGACGAGUCGAGUAGUUUGGGAAUGCUGCUCAAAAUGGGAGGUAAAUUUCUUCUAAAGCUAAAUACCGGCCAGAGACCGAUAGCGCACAAGUAGAGUGAUCGAAAGAUGAAAAGCACUUUGAAAAGAGGGUUAAAAAGUACGUGAAAUUGUUGAAAGGGAAGCGCCUGUGACCAGACUUGCGCCCCGUGGACCAUCCGGCGUUCUCGCCGGUGCACUCUGCGGGGCGCAGGCCAGCAUCGGUUCUCCUAGGGGGAUAAAGGCCGCGGGAACGUAGCUCCUUCGGGAGUGUUAUAGCCCGCGGUGGCAUGCCCCUGGGGGGACCGAGGACCGCGCUUCGGCAAGGAUGCUGGCGUAAUGGUCACCAGCGACCCGUCUUGAAACACGGACCAAGGAGUCAAGCAUUGGGGCGAGUGUAUGGGUGCCAAACCCGCACGCGAAAUGAAAGUAAACGCAGGUGAGAGCUUCGGCGCAUCAUCGACCGAUCCUGAUGUCUUCGGAUGGAUUUGAGUAAGAGCCUUACCGCUUGGACCCGAAAGAUGGUGAACUAUGCCUGAAUAGGGUGAAGCCAGAGGAAACUCUGGUGGAGGCUCGCAGCGGUUCUGACGUGCAAAUCGAUCGUCAAAUUUGGGCAUGGGGGCGAAAGACUAAUCGAACCAU
rnacentral:rRNA from 1 species